UACGAAGGGUGCAAGCGUUACUCGGAAUUACUGGGCGUAAAGCGUGCGUAGGUGGUUUGUUAAGUCUGUUGUGAAAGCCCCGGGCUCAACCUGGGAAUGGCAAUGGAUACUGGCAAGCUAGAGUGCGGUAGAGGGUAGUGGAAUUCCCGGUGUAGCGGUGAAAUGCGUAGAGAUCGGGAGGAACAUCAGUUGCGAAGGCGGCUCUCUGGACCAGCACUGACACUGAGGCACGAAAGCGUGGGGAGCAAACAGG
rnacentral:rRNA from 1 species